rnacentral:rRNA from 1 species
UACGGAGGAUGCAAGCGUUAUCCGGAAUGAUUGGGCGUAAAGGGUCCGCAGGUGGCAAUGUGUGUCUGCUGUCAAAGAAUGAGGCUUAACCUCAUCAAGGCAGUGGAAACUACAUAGCUAGAGUACGGUCGGGGUAGAAGGAAUUCCUGGUGUAGCGGUGAAAUGCGUAGAUAUCAGGAGGAACACCGGUGGCGAAAGCGCUCAUCUGGCCCGAUACUGACGCUGAAGCACGAAAGCUAGGGGAGCAAACGGG